AUUGAACGCUGGCGGCAUGCUUUACACAUGCAAGUCGAACGGUAACAGGCCGCAAGGUGCUGACGAGUGGCGAACGGGUGAGUAAUGCAUCGGAACGUGCCCAGUCGUGGGGGAUAACGCAGCGAAAGCUGCGCUAAUACCGCAUACGAUCUAUGGAUGAAAGCGGGGGACCGUAAGGCCUCGCGCGAUUGGAGCGGCCGAUGUCAGAUUAGGUAGUUGGUGGGGUAAAGGCUCACCAAGCCAACAAUCUGUAGCUGGUCUGAGAGGACGACCAGCCACACUGGGACUGAGACACGGCCCAGACUCCUACGGGAGGCAGCAGUGGGGAAUUUUGGACAAUGGGCGCAAGCCUGAUCCAGCAAUGCCGCGUGCAGGAAGAAGGCCUUCGGGUUGUAAACUGCUUUUGUACGGAACGAAACGGUCCUGGUUAAUACCUGGGGCUAAUGACGGUACCGUAAGAAUAAGCACCGGCUAACUACGUGCCAGCAGCCGCGGUAACAC
rnacentral:rRNA from 1 species